rnacentral:rRNA from 1 species
GACGAACGCUGGCGGCGUGCUUAACACAUGCAAGUCGAACGGAAAGGCCCUGCUUUUGUGGGGUGCUCGAGUGGCGAACGGGUGAGUAACACGUGAGUAACCUGCCCUUGACUUUGGGAUAACUUCAGGAAACUGGGGCUAAUACCGGAUAGGAGCUCCUGCUGCAUGGUGGGGGUUGGAAAGUUUCGGCGGUUGGGGAUGGACUCGCGGCUUAUCAGCUUGUUGGUGGGGUAGUGGCUUACCAAGGCUUUGACGGGUAGCCGGCCUGAGAGGGUUACCGGCCACAUUGGGCCUGCGAUACGGCCCAGACUCGUACGGGCGGCAGUAGUGGGGAAUAUUGCACAAUGGGCGGAAGCCUGAUGCAGCAACGCCGCGUGCGGGAUGACGGCCUUCGGGUUGUAAACAGCUUUCGACUGAGACGAAGCGUGAGUGACGGUAAUGGGUAAAGAAGCACCGGCUAACUACGUG